GGAUCAUUACCUAGAGUUGCGGGCUUUGCCUGCCAUCUCUUACCCAUGUCUUUUGAGUACCUUCGUUUCCUCGGCGGGUUCGCCCGCCGGUUGGACAACACUUAAACCCUUUGUAAUUGAAAUCAGCGUCUGAAAAACUUUAAUAGUUACAACUUUCAACAACGGAUCUCUUGGUUCUGGCAUCGAUGAAGAACGCAGCGAAAUGCGAUAAGUAGUGUGAAUUGCAGAAUUCAGUGAAUCAUCGAAUCUUUGAACGCACAUUGCGCCCCUUGGUAUUCCAUGGGGCAUGCCUGUUCGAGCGUCAUUUGUACCUUCAAGCUCUGCUUGGUGUUGGGUGUUUGUCUCGCCUUUUGCGCGCAGACUCGCCUCAAAACGAUUGGCAGCCGGCGUAUUGAUUUCGGAGCGCAGUACAUCUCGCGCUUUGCACUCACAACGACGACGUCCAAAAAGUACAUUUUUACACUCUUGACCUCGGAUCAGGUAGGGAUACCC
rnacentral:rRNA from 1 species